GAUGCGAAUGCCAGGUGCCCACAAUAGAAUCUGAAAAUGCAUCAUUCUACCCUUAAGAUCCUUUCUCCGAAGCCCCUUUUUUCUCCUCAAUCUCUGCCCCGAAAUUCAAACGCACCAAAUCCCUAGCUUUCCACUGCUGAACUUUUCACCGUCUCGUCUCGAUUUUUCCGUCGUUGCAAUUGGUAAUUUCUGUUGUUUUUUGAGAUGGAGAUUGAGCAAAAGCAAGAGGAGGUCAUUGAUCACUACGUGAAGCAAGCCUCAUCACUCGAUGGCUCCGCUCUCGGUCCCCUCGUCGCAGAAGUCACCUCCCACCCUGCCCUUUUUGCCUUUUCGGAAAUUAUCGCUGUCCCUAAUGUUCUUCAGGUUCCCAUGUUUCUAUAUAUUUAUUGUGGAAUUUCAGUUUUCUGUGUAUAUUUUGGUCGUGUAGUUUCUGCGUUUGAGCAAAGGAUGUAUAAUCAGAACUUUGUUGCAGCCAAAGAGAAAAUAAAAUUUUUGAUUGUUACUGGGCUUUGUUUCAUACGCAUUUGUUUUUUGACUCUGGAAUAUGUACAGCUUGAAGGAACUGAAAAUUCUGUGUACCUCGAUGUGCUUCGAUUGUUUGCACAUGGCACAUGGAGUGAUUACAAGAGUGAUGCCAGUCGUCGUCCACAACUGGUCCCUGAUCAAGUCUUAAAGCUGAAACAGCUUACUGUUCUUACGCUGGCUGAGACAAACAAGGUACUACCGUAUCAUCAACUUAUGCAGGAGUUAGAUGUUAUCAAUGUACGAGAGCUCGAGGAUUUUCUCAUUAAUGAGUGCAUGUAUGUGGGCAUACUAAGAGGAAAGCUGGACCAGUUGCGAAAAUGCUUUGAGGUCCAGUUUGCUGCAGGGAGAGAUCCGAGACCUGGACAACUUGGGAGUAUGAUUCAAACACUGUCAAACUGGUUGGAUACCUCAAGCAAUCUUCUUAUCUCAAUUCAAGAAAAGAUGAAGUGGGCUGAUACUAUGACUGAAGUGGCCAAGGAACACAAGAAAGAAGUUGGAAAUACGGUGGAAGAAGUAAAGAAGUCGAUUUCCAUCAAGGCCGACAUUGACUUCCGGGGGCAUGGGGAGAUCUACUCCGAACCUGGAGGAGUGAUGGACUAUGAGGAAGACCGUAGUCGACCAAAGAGGAGACGGCAUCCUAUAUGUAAGAGUUGAGAGUUGGAGACGACGAUUAUUUAGGCAAGUUCAAGUUGCCUUGAUUUUUUGUUCAUGUCUUUCCCAGGUCUUGAGGAUGAAGUUGUCCUCCUCGUCGAGGUUUCCAGGGUUCUUCACGUCUUCAGGUUCUCGUGGCGCCACUGGAGAAUCUGUUGUCUGCAGAGACUUUGCUGGUUAAAUGCUGUCGUAUUUUAAUCGGUUUUCAUUUUGCUCAAGCCAUUUUCUUUUUAUUUAAUUUGUAAUUACUUAAACCAAAUUAUAAGUCCAGCUGUAAAUAGAUGGUCCACGUGUCAAAUUUUAAAUGGGAGUAUCACGUGGUAGUAUAGUACUACCUAAUAAUUUCUCGAGA